GGGCUGGUAGUUCAGUUGGUAUGAAUACUGCCUUGGCAUGGCAGGGGUCGGGGGUUCAAAUCCCUCCCAGUCCACCA
rnacentral:tRNA from 1 species